rnacentral:rRNA from 1 species
UACGUAGGCAGCGAGCGUUGUUCGGAGUUACUGGGCGUAAAGGGCUCGUAGGCGGCCAACUAAGUCGGAUGUGAAAUCCCCAGGCUUAACCUGGGAACUGCAUCCGAUACUGGAUGGCUUGAAUCCGGGAGAGGGAUGCGGAAUUCCAGGUGUAGCGGUGAAAUGCGUAGAUAUCUGGAGGAACACCGGUGGCGAAGGCGGCAUCCUGGACCGGGCAUUGACGCUGAGGAGCGAAAGCCAGGGGAGCAAACGGG